CCUACGGGGGGCAGCAGUCGAGGAUUUUUCUCAAUGGGGGCAACCCUGAAGGAGCGACGCCGCGUGGAGGAUGAAGGGCUUCGGCUCGUAAACUCCUGUCACCGACGAACAAGACAUCCGGAUUAAUAAAUCGGAUGUUUGAUGGUAGUCGGAGAGGAAGGGGCGGCUAACUCUGUGCCAGCAGCCGCGGUGAUACAGAGGCCCCAAGCGUUGUUCGGAUUUACUGGGCGUAAAGGGUGUGUAGGGGGUCGGGUAAGUUUGACGUGAAAUCCCGUUGCUC
rnacentral:rRNA from 1 species